GCCGAGGUGGCUGAGUGGUAAGGCGCAGGCCUGGAACUCCCCGAACAGGUAGCCUGUGUUCCGCAAGGGACUCAAGGGUUCAAAUCCCUUCCUCGGCG
rnacentral:tRNA from 1 species